rnacentral:rRNA from 1 species
GAGAGUUUGAUCCUGGCUCAGAUUGAACGCUAGCGGGAUGCUUUACACAUGCAAGUCGAACGGCAGCACGAGAGAGCUUGCUCUCUUGGUGGCGAGUGGCGGACGGGUGAGUAAUAUAUCGGAACGUGCCCAGUAGCGGGGGAUAACUACUCGAAAGAGUGGCUAAUACCGCAUACGCCCUACGGGGGAAAGGGGGGGAUCGCAAGACCUCUCACUAUUGGAGCGGCCGAUAUCGGAUUAGCUAGUUGGUGGGGUAAAGGCUCACCAAGGCAACGAUCCGUAGCUGGUUUGAGAGGACGACCAGCCACACUGGGACUGAGACACGGCCCAGACUCCUACGGGAGGCAGCAGUGGGGAAUUUUGGACAAUGGGGGAAACCCUGAUCCAGCCAUCCCGCGUGUAUGAUGAAGGCCUUCGGGUUGUAAAGUACUUUUGGCAGAGAAGAAAAGGCAUCCCCUAAUACGGGAUGCUGCUGACGGUAUCUGCAGAAUAAGCACCGGCUAACUACGUGCCAGCAGCCGCGGUAAUACGUAGGGUGCAAGCGUUAAUCGGAAUUACUGGGCGUAAAGCGUGUGUAGGCGGUUCGGAAAGAAAGAUGUGAAAUCCCAGGGCUCAACCUUGGAACUGCAUUUUUAACUGCCGAGCUAGAGUAUGUCAGAGGGGGGUAGAAUUCCACGUGUAGCAGUGAAAUGCGUAGAUAUGUGGAGGAAUACCGAUGGCGAAGGCAGCCCCCUGGGAUAAUACUGACGCUCAGACACGAAAGCGUGGGGAGCAAACAGGAUUAGAUACCCUGGUAGUCCACGCCCUAAACGAUGUCAACUAGCUGUUGGGGCCGUUAGGCCUUAGUAGCGCAGCUAACGCGUGAAGUUGACCGCCUGGGGAGUACGGUCGCAAGAUUAAAACUCAAAGGAAUUGACGGGGACCCGCACAAGCGGUGGAUGAUGUGGAUUAAUUCGAUGCAACGCGAAAAACCUUACCUACCCUUGACAUGUCUGGAAAGCCGAAGAGAUUUGGCCGUGCUCGCAAGAGAACCGGAACACAGGUGCUGCAUGGCUGUCGUCAGCUCGUGUCGUGAGAUGUUGGGUUAAGUCCCGCAACGAGCGCAACCCUUGUCAUUAGUUGCUACGCAAGAGCACUCUAAUGAGACUGCCGGUGACAAACCGGAGGAAGGUGGGGAUGACGUCAAGUCCUCAUGGCCCUUAUGGGUAGGGCUUCACACGUCAUACAAUGGUCGGGACAGAGGGUCGCCAACCCGCGAGGGGGAGCCAAUCUCAGAAACCCGAUCGUAGUCCGGAUCGCAGUCUGCAACUCGACUGCGUGAAGUCGGAAUCGCUAGUAAUCGCGGAUCAGAAUGUCGCGGUGAAUACGUUCCCGGGUCUUGUACACACCGCCCGUCACACCAUGGGAGUGGGUUUCACCAGAAGUAGGUAGCCUAACCGCAAGGAGGGCGCUUACCACGGUGGGAUUCAUGGCUGGGGUGAAGUCGUAACAAGGUAGCCGUAG